AGAGCCAUGGCUCAGUGGCAGAACACCUGCUUUGCAUGCAGAAGGUCCCAGGUUCAAUCCCUGGUGUCUCCA